rnacentral:rRNA from 2 species
UUUAGAGUUUGAUUCCAUGGCUCAGGACGAACGCUGGCGGCGUGCCUAAUACAUGCAAGUCGAGCGAAUCAAUAGGAGCUUGCUCCUGUUGGUUAGCGGCGGACGGGUGAGUAACACGUGGGCAACCUGCCUGUAAGACUGGGAUAACACCGGGAAACCGGUGCUAAUACCGGAUAAUCCUUUUCCUCUCAUGAGGAAAAGCUGAAAGUCGGUUUCGGCUGACACUUACAGAUGGGCCCGCGGCGCAUUAGCUAGUUGGUGAGGUAACGGCUCACCAAGGCGACGAUGCGUAGCCGACCUGAGAGGGUGAUCGGCCACACUGGGACUGAGACACGGCCCAGACUCCUACGGGAGGCAGCAGUAGGGAAUCUUCCACAAUGGACGAAAGUCUGGUGGAGCAACGCCGCGUGAGCGAUGAAGGCCUUCGGGUCGUAAAGCUCUGUUGUUAGGGA